rnacentral:rRNA from 1 species
UGAACGCUGGCGGUAGGCCUAACACAUGCAAGUCGAACGGCAGCACAGUAAGAGCUUGCUCUUACGGGUGGCGAGUGGCGGACGGGUGAGGAAUACAUCGGAAUCUACUUUUUCGUGGGGGAUAACGUAGGGAAACUUACGCUAAUACCGCAUACGACCUACGGGUGAAAGCAGGGGAUCUUCGGACCUUGCGCGAUUGAAUGAGCCGAUGUCGGAUUAGCUAGUUGGCGGGGUAAAGGCCCACCAAGGCGACGAUCUGUAGCUGGUCUGAGAGGAUGAUCAGCCACACUGGAACUGAGACACGGUCCAGACUCCUACGGGAGGCAGCAGUGGGGAAUAUUGGACAAUGGGCGCAAGCCUGAUCCAGCCAUACCGCGUGGGUGAAGAAGGCCUUCGGGUUGUAAAGCCCUUUUGUUGGGAAAGAAAAGCAGCAGGUUAAUACCCCGCUGUUCUGACGGUACCCAAAGAAUAAGCACCGGCUAACUUCGUG